UACGUAGGGACCAAGCGUUGUUCGGAUUUAUUGGGCGUAAAGAGCUCGUAGGUGGUUCGAUAAGUCGGGUGUGAAACCUCCAGGCUCAACCUGGAGACGCCACCCGAUACUGUCGUGACUAGAGUCCAGUAGGGGAGCGUGGAAUUCCUGGUGUAGCGGUGAAAUGCGCAGAUAUCAGGAGGAACACCAGCGGCGAAGGCGGCGCUCUGGGCUGGCACUGACACUGAGGAGCGAAAGCGUGGGGAGCGAACAGG
rnacentral:rRNA from 1 species